rnacentral:lncRNA from 1 species
UGAUAUCCAGAUUGAUAGUGCAUCAAAGAUAAUAGAAGCAAUUUGAUCAAUUAAUUAUUUGAAGUCCUAUUGGCAUGAUACCUAGGUUAGCAAAACUAUAUAAUAUACGUCCUAUAGGCAUGAUGUCUAAAUGCACAAUAAUAACAAGUAUAGAGAUGAUAGUGUACCAGUAUUGGUCAAAUUAGGUGAGGUGUGAUCAAUUCCUAGAACAUGAUUUAUACUAGCCAAGUAUGGAGAUGAUAGUGUACCAGUAUUGGUCAAAUUAGGUAAGGUGUGAUCAAUUCCUAGAGACAUGAUUUAUACUAGCGUGCAGAAGUAGAGCAAGUUAAAGAAGAUAACAAAUAAAGCAUGUAGACCUGAUAAAUAUGUUCUCUACCCUUUAUGCAAUAACAAAGCACACCCAUUUUCCAUUUUACUAACAACCCAAUUAUUCGUUAUUACAAGUUACAGGACAAAAAUGGAGUAAUACAAACUCAAAGAUGACAACAUACAAACGAAAACAAGUACAAGCCUGCUAUAAAAUAAUCCAGUGAGUUUAUGGGCCUUUAACAACCUCACCAACCAACAGACUCAAGUCUCAGGCUCAUGAGGACAGUAGAAUCUUCCUGAAUCCAAUGCCCAGGUCCAACAAUACAUAUGGCCUAACACCGAGCCCAAUGAAUAACUUACUUAGCGGUAUGAAUGCCAAACUUAAUCAUACAAACGACAGAGCACUCGUGGAAUUAACUAAAUAACUUUUCACACUCAACUCCUAAAGCUAUAACUAAUCAACAUUUAUAACCAAAACAUAUGGAUAAGAUCACAUGAAAUACCGACAAG